AGUCUGCAACUCGACUGCACGAAGCUGGAAUCGCUAGUAAUCGCGGAUCAGCACGCCGCGGUGAAUACGUUCCCGGGCCUUGUACACACCGCCCGUCAAGUCAUGAAAGUGGGCAGCACCCGAAGACGGUGGCCUAACCCUUGUGGGGGGAGCCGUCUAAGGUGAGGCUCGUGAUUGGGACUAAGUCGUAACAAGGUACC
rnacentral:rRNA from 1 species